rnacentral:rRNA from 1 species
GCUAAUACCGCAUACGUCCUACGGGAGAAAGCAGGGGACCUUCGGGCCUUGCGCUAUCAGAUGAGCCUAGGUCGGAUUAGCUAGUUGGUGAGGUAAUGGCUCACCAAGGCGACGAUCCGUAACUGGUCUGAGAGGAUGAUCAGUCACACUGGAACUGAGACACGGUCCAGACUCCUACGGGAGGCAGCAGUGGGGAAUAUUGGACAAUGGGCGAAAGCCUGAUCCAGCCAUGCCGCGUGUGUGAAGAAGGUCUUCGGAUUGUAAAGCACUUUAAGUUGGGAGGAAGGGUUGUAGAUUAAUACUCUGCAAUUUUGACGUUACCGACAGAAUAAGCACCGGCUAACUCUGUGCCAGCAGCCGCGGUAAUACAGAGGGUGCAAGCGUUAAUCGGAAUUACUGGGCGUAAAGCGCGCGUAGGUGGUUUGUUAAGUUGGAUGUGAAAGCCCGGGCUCAACCUGGGA